rnacentral:rRNA from 1 species
AGACGGGAAGGCAAGUUGGUUGUGAAAUCCCUCGGCUUAACUGAGGAACUGCAACCAAAACUAUCUUUCUUGAGUGCUGGAGAGGAAAGUGGAAUUCGUGGUGUAGCGGUGAAAUGCUUAGAUAUCACGAAGAACUCCGAUUGCGAAGGCAGCUCACUGGACUGCAACUGACACUGAUGCUCGAAAGUGUGGGUAUCAAACAG